rnacentral:rRNA from 1 species
UACAAUGAAGCAAAGAUAAAAACCUGUACCUUUUGCAUAAUGGUCUAGCAAGUCCACCCCAACAAAAAGAAUUUUAGCCGGACCCCCCGAAACCAAACGAGCUAUUUUAGAGCAGCAAAUAGAGCAAACCCUUCUCUGUGGCAAAAGAGUGGGAAGACUUUAAAAUAGGGGUGAUAAACCUAACGAGCUUGGACAUAGCUGGUUGCUUGAGAAUGAAUUUAAGUUCAAUUAAAAGCAAAUAUGCCACUCAAAGGAUAAAUAAUGCUUUUAUUUUAACCGGUUGGGGUACACCUCAACUGGUAAAGGACACAACCUAAACAAAUGAAUAAUGAUUAUAUUUAAUUAGGAUACUAGCCCAGUAGGCCCAAAAGCAGCCACCUCUAGGAACAGCGUCAAAGCUUUACUUAUUUCCACCUAUUAUUUCAAUAAAAAAUCUAAACUCACUGCAGAAAUCAAGUCAAUCUAUAUUAUAGAUAAACUACUACUAGAAUUAGUAACAAGAGAAAUCUCUACAAUACACGUGUAUAUCAGAAUGAAAUAAUCACUGAUAAUUAACAAAUAUAUUGACACAAACAAGAAUUAUAAAUUUAACCUAUUGUUAACCCAACACAGGAGUAUAAAAAUAGACUUAAUGCUUGAAAAGGAACUCGGCAAACAAUAGAUUCGCCUGUUUACCAAAAACAUCGCCUCUUGACCAACAAAUAUGAGAGGUACUGCCUGCCCAGUGACAUUUGUUUAACGGCCGCGGUAUUAUGACCGUGCAAAGGUAGCGUAAUCACUUGUCUUUUAAAUAAAGACCAGUAUGAAUGGCAAAACGAAAGCUCAACUGUCUCUUCAAGCAGGUCAGUGAAAUUGAUCCCCCCGUGAAAAAGCGGGAAUAUAUCUAUAAGACGAGAAGACCCUAUGGAGCUUUAAACCAAAACUAAUUAUUGAAUUAAAAAAUUAAAAAAUAAAAAAGCAUAAGGUUUUAGGUUGGGGCGACCGCGGGGUAAAAAAAAUCCCCCGAGAUAAAAAAUUGAGAAGAACACUUCAAAAUAAUAAUAGUAUUAAUAUAAUUGACCCAAUAUUUGAUCAACGGACCAAGUUACCCUAGGGAUAACAGCGCAAUCCUUUCACAGAGUCCCUAUCGACGAAUGGGUUUACGACCUCGAUGUUGGAUCAGGACCCCCAAAUGAUGCAAAAGUUAUUAAAGGUUCGUUUGUUCAACGAUUAAAGUCCUACGUGAUCUGAGUUCAGACCGGAGUAAUCCAGGUCAGUUUCUAUCUAUAAAU